UACAGAGGGGGCGAGCGUUGUUCGGAAUUACUGGGCGUAAAGGGCGCGUAGGCGGCCUUCUAAGUCGAACGUGAAAUCCCCGGGCUCAACCCGGGAACUGCGUCCGAUACUGGGAGGCUUGAAUCCGGGAGAGGGAUGUGGAAUUCCAGGUGUAGCGGUGAAAUGCGUAGAUAUCUGGAGGAACACCGGUGGCGAAGGCGGCAUCCUGGACCGGUAUUGACGCUGAGGCGCGAAAGCUAGGGGAGCAAACGGG
rnacentral:rRNA from 1 species